UCACAAAUGCUGACAUAGGAGGACUGAAGGAGGGAGUGUGUCUCUCUAUCAUGCUCCCUCGUGGUUCCCACAAUUCCCAGCACAGUGAGGGAGCAUGAUAGAGAGAAAUGCUCCCUCCUUCAGUCCUCCUAUGCUGACAGCUCACU